GACGAACGCUGGCGGCGUGCUUAACACAUGCAAGUCGAACGAAGAGCGAUGGAAGCUUGCUUCUAUCAAUCUUAGUGGCGAACGGGUGAGUAACGCGUAAUCAACCUGCCCUUCAGAGGGGGACAACAGUUGGAAACGACUGCUAAUACCGCAUACGAUCUAAUCUCGGCAUCGAGGAUAGAUGAAAGGUGGCCUCUACAUGUAAGCUAUCACUGAAGGAGGGGAUUGCGUCUGAUUAGCUAGUUGGAGGGGUAACGGCCCACCAAGGCGAUGAUCAGUAGCCGGUCUGAGAGGAUGAACGGCCACAUUGGGACUGAGACACGGCCCAGACUCCUACGGGAGGCAGCAGUGGGGAAUCUUCCGCAAUGGACGAAAGUCUGACGGAGCAACGCCGCGUGAGGGAUGACGGCCUUCGGGUUGUAAAGCUCCGUUAAUCGGGACGAAAGGCCUUCUUGCGAAUAGUGAGAAGGAUUGACGGUACCGGAAUAGAAAGCCACGGCUAACUACGUG
rnacentral:rRNA from 1 species